rnacentral:rRNA from 1 species
CAGCCGCCACGGUAAUACGUAGGGUGCGAGCGUUAAUCGGAAUUACUGGGCGUAAAGCGUGCGCAGGCGGUUCGUUAAGACAGAUGUGAAAUCCCCGGGCUUAACCUGGGAACUGCAUUUGUGACUGGCGAGCUAGAGUAUGGCAGAGGGGGGUAGAAUUCCACGUGUAGCAGUGAAAUGCGUAGAGAUGUGGAGGAAUACCGAUGGCGAAGGCAGCCCCCUGGGCCAAUACUGACGCUCAUGCACGAAAGCGUGGGGAGCAAACAGGAUUAGAUACCCCUGUAGUCCCUGUCUCUUAUAA